rnacentral:rRNA from 1 species
UGUGCCUACGGGAGGCAGCAGUUAGGAAUAUUCGUCAAUGGGGGAAACCCUGAACGAGCAAUGCCGCGUGAAGGAUGACGGUCCUAUGGAUUGUAAACUUCUGUUGUUAGGGAAGAACGACCUAAGUAGGAAAUGACUUAGGAGUGACGGUACCUUUCAAGAAAGCUCCGGCUAACUACGUGCCAGCAGCCGCGGUCAUACGUAGGAUCCGAGCAUUAUCCGGAGUGACUGGGUGUAAAGAGUUGCGUAGGUGGCAUAAUAAGUAGCUAGUGAAAUCUGGUGGCUCAACCAUUCAGACAAUUAGC